rnacentral:rRNA from 1 species
UACAGAGGGUGCAAGCGUUGUUCGGAAUUAUUGGGCGUAAAGGGUGCGUAGGCGGUGCGGUAAGUCUGUAGUGAAAUCUCUGGGCUCAACUCAGAGUCUGCUAUAGAAACUGCCGUGCUUGAGUGUGGGAGAGGUGAGUGGAAUUCCCGGUGUAGCGGUGAAAUGCGUCGAUAUCGGGAGGAACACCUGUGGCGAAAGCGGCUCACUGGACCACAACUGACGCUGAUGCACGAAAGCUAGGGGAGCAAACAGG